AAAUCAUGAUUCGGACUCUUUUUAAAAUACUCCUUGAAUCUCUCCCAGGCUUCAUACAGUUGUUCCCCCGGUCAAUGCUUAAAGUCAUAGAUCUUGUCACGAAUUU